rnacentral:rRNA from 1 species
CCCUUAGAUGUUCUGGGCCGCACGCGCGCUACACUGACGAAUGCAACGAGCUUAUAACCUUGGCCGAAAGGUCUGGGUAAUCUCCAAAUUUCGUCGUGAUGGGGAUAGAUUAUUGCAAUUAUUAAUCUUCAACGAGGAAUGCCUAGUAAGCGCAAGUCAUCAGCUUGCGUUGAUUACGUCCCUGCCCUUUGUACACACCGCCCGUCGCUACUACCGAUUGAAUGGCUUAGUGAGGCCUCCGGAUUGGCUUUGGGGAGCCGGCAACGGCACCUCAUGGCUGAGAAGUUGGUCAAACUUGGUCAUUUAGAGGAAGUAAAAGUCGUAACA